CAGUAGCCGCGGUAAUACGAAGGGUGUAAGUGUUAAUCGGAAUUACUGGGCGUAAAGCGUGCGUAGGCGGUGAGUUAAGUCUGCUGUGAAAUCCCCGGGCUCAACCUGGGAAUGGCAGUGGAUACUGGCUCGCUAGAGUGUGUCAGAGGAUGGUGGAAUUCCCGGUGUAGCGGUGAAAUGCGUAGAGAUCGGGAGGAACAUCAGUGGCAAAGGCGGCCAUCUGGGACAACACUGACGCUGAGGCACGAAAGCGUGGGGAGCAAACAGGAUUAGAUACCCCGGUAGUCCCUGUCUCUUAUAC
rnacentral:rRNA from 1 species